GUGCUUGUUUUGGCAGCACAUAUACCAAAAUUAGAAUGAUACCGAGAAGAUUAGCAUGGUCCCUGAGCAAGGAUGGCACACAAAUUCGUGAAGCAUUCCAUAUUAAA
ensembl:snRNA U6 U6 spliceosomal RNA